rnacentral:rRNA from 1 species
AACGUAGGAGGCAAGCGUUAUCCGGAUUUACUGGGCGUAAAGGGCGCGUAGGCGGCCUUCUAAGUCGAACGUGAAAUCCCCGGGCUCAACCCGGGAACUGCGUCCGAUACUGGAAGGCUUGAAUCCGGGAGAGGGAUGUGGAAUUCCAGGUGUAGCGGUGAAAUGCGUAGAUAUCAGGAAGAACACCUAUGGCGAAGGCAGCACUCUGGGACGGUACUGACGCUGAGACGCGAAAGCGUGGGGAGCGAACAGG